CCUACGGGAGGCAGCAGUGAGGAAUAUUGGUCAAUGGACGAGAGUCUGAACCAGCCAAGUAGCGUGAAGGAUGACUGCCCUAUGGGUUGUAAACUUCUUUUAUAAAGGAAUAAAACGAGGCACGUGUGCCUUUUUGCAUGUACUUUAUGAAUAAGGAUCGGCUAACUCCGUGCCAGCAGCCGCGGUAAUACGGAGAAUCCGAGCGUUCUCCGGAUUUAUUGGGUUUAAAGGGCGCGUAGAUGGGUUGUUAAGUCAGUUGUGAAAGUGUGCGGCUCAACCGUAAAAUUGCAAUUGAUACUGGCAGUCGUGAGUACAGUUGAGGUAGGCGGAAUUCGUGGUGUAGCGGUGAAAUGCUUAGAUAUCACGAAGAACCCCGAUUGCGAAGGCAGCUUACUAAACUGUGACUGACAUUGAUGCUCGAAAGUGUGGGUAUCAAACAGGAUUAGAUACCCCAGUAGUC
rnacentral:rRNA from 1 species